rnacentral:rRNA from 1 species
UACGUAGGGGGCAAGCGUUGUCCGGAUUUAUUGGGCGUAAAGAGCUCGUAGGCGGUUCAGCAAGUCGGGUGUGAAAAAUCUGGGCUCAACCCAGUGGAGCACCCGAUACUGUGCGACUAGAGUGCGGAAGGGGCAACUGGAAUUCUCGGUGUAGCGGUGAAAUGCGUAGAUAUCGAGAGGAACACCUGCGGCGAAGGCGGGUUGCUGGGCCGACACUGACGCUGAGGAGCGAAAGCGUGGGGAGCGAACAGG